GACGAACCGUGCAAACGUUGUUCGGAAUCACUGGGCUUAAAGGGCGCGUAGGCGGGCCAGCCAGUCUGUGGUGAAAGCCUCCAGCUUAACUGGAGAAGUGCCGUGGAUACUGCUGGCCUCGAGGAGGAUAGGGGCAUCUGGAACGGUCGGUGGAGCGGUGAAAUGCGUUGAUAUCCGAAGGAACGCCGGUGGCGAAAGCGACGGGCUGGAUCUCUUCUGACGCUGAGGCGCGAAAGCCAGGGGAGCGAACGGG
rnacentral:rRNA from 1 species